GACGAACGCUGGCGGCGUGCCUAAUACAUGCAAGUCGAGCGAGACUCUUCGGAGUCUAGCGGCGGACGGGUGAGUAACACGUGGGCAACCUGCCUGUAAGACUGGGGUAACACCGGGAAACCGGUGCUAAUACCGGAUAAUCCAUUUCCUCUCAUGAGGGAAAGCUGAAAGUCGGUUUCGGCUGACACUUACAGAUGGGCCCGCGGCGCAUUAGCUAGUUGGUGAGGUAACGGCUCACCAAGGCGACGAUGCGUAGCCGACCUGAGAGGGUGAUCGGCCAAACUGGGACUGAGACACGGCCCAGACGCCUACGGGAGGCAGCAGUAGGGAAUCUUCCACAAUGGACGAAAGUCUGAUGGAGCAACGCCGCGUGAGCGAUGAAGGCCUUCGGGUCGUAAAGCUCUGUUGUUAGGGAAGAAUAAGUACCGGAGUAACUGCCGGUACCUUGACGGUACCUAACCAGAAAGCCACGGCUAACUACGUGCCAGCCGCCGCGGUAAUAC
rnacentral:rRNA from 1 species